GUUUUGGUCCUAAACUUACCAUUACUUAUAACCAAAAUUACACAUGCCAGCAUCCACCACCCAGUGCACACGCCCACAAUUAAUACUGCCCAACAGUAAAAGAGCAGGUAUCAGGCACACCCAUUGUAGCCCAAAACACCAGGCCUCGCCACACCCACACGGAACUCAGCAGUGAUAGACCUUAAGCAAUAAGCACCACAGCUUGACUUAGUUAUGGUUAAAUUUGGGCCGGUAAAUUUCGUGCCAGCCACCGCGGUUAUACGAAAGGCCCAAAGUAAUGCUCCCCGGCGUAAAACGUGUCUAGAACCCCGCCUAACACGGAAGUUGAAACCCUAACGUAGUUGUAAAACACACACGCACAAGGAACCCCCACCAAACUUCCCCACUCAGCCCACUUUGACGCCACGAAAGCUGAGAGACAAACUAGGAUUAGAUACCCUACUAUGCUCAGCCGUUAACCUAGGCCGCACCGCAUAUAGCAGCCCGCCAGAAAAUUACAAGUGAAAAACUUAAAACUCCAAGGACUUGACGGUGUCCCACACCAACCUAGAGGAGCCUGUCCUAUAAUCGAUACCCCACGUUAUACCUCACCCCAUCUUGCCAAGUCAACCUAUAUACCGCCGUCGCCAGCCUACCUCCCAAGAGCAGUACGCCGUAAGCAACAAACUUCACUUCACUCGUACGUCAGGUCAAGGUGUAGUUAAUGAUGGGGUAGAGAUGGGCUACAUUUUCUAACGUAGAAUAUACCAACCGCAACAUGAAACAUACGCUAUAAGGCGGAUUUAGUAGUAAAGUAGGCAAGACAAGCCAACUUGAAACAAGCCCUGGGACGCGUACACACCGCCCGUCACCCUCCUCGCCUAUAAUAAAACCUAAUAAAUAAAACCAACCCCACCAACAGAUGAGGUAAGUCGUAACAUGGUAAGCGCACUGGAAAGUGCGCUUGGUCCAC
rnacentral:ncRNA from 1 species